UCAUUUUCAUUUUCCUGUUUUCAAAUCGCCAAAAUCUGCAGUUCAAUAAACCUCGCUUCCACUCGAUUGUGCUGUCAAUUAAACGUUCUUUUCAGCGAUGACUGUGCCUUGCAGCUUCGAGGACAAGUUCAUUAAUUCAUAUGAAUACGAAUACGAAAACGAAUAGGAAUACGAAUACGAAUAUGAUUGCAAAUGCGCUAACGAUGCUGUGACUAUUUUUUAUGGUUCUUAAUGUUUGCUAAUUUCGUGUCGAGUUUUAAUAGUGACAACACGCCUUCGAUAUGUAUAGAUGCUGACUACAAGAACAACAGUUAUUCGCACUUAAACAAAGAGAAGCCGCUGAGCACAAAAAAUAUUGUACCCAAAAUUUAAAUGAGCCAAGACCACAAUGCGAGAGAGAAAGA